AUGACGCCAUUUAUGAAGACCCUGGUAUCCCUACCGGUACUGGCUAUUGACUGCUGAUCGAAGCCCUACUAUUGACCACGGAUUGAAUACGGAACCCACGACUCCCACUGAAUUGAGAUGUAUUAAUUGUGGCACCGCUGUACCUAAAUCAAAGGAGUAGACAUAAUAGCCUUGAAUUUGUAGAGGUUAUGUAAAUACAACACUGGAUUGCACUUCAAGUGGUGACAGACCACCAGUGUGCCUCUUUUGCUGGACUCUAUUUAGUGUUUCAUUAAAAAGUAAACAAAUGUUUGUUGUAUUUGGGCAUGUAAGUGAGCUAUGGCCAAACCUUGUCUUGUUCUGAGAAGAGACAUACUCAGUACUGCAUGGAUCUGAUGAAAUCUACCACCCCUGUUGGCAGAAAAGUGAUCGAUUGAGAGCACAUGCUCUUGAACCACCUCAACAAGGAUUACCAAUUAUUGUUUUACCGAACUGGAAAAGAAGACCAGAUACCUAAGGCCAUUAUUUUUUUUUAGACUAACUCACUGGAAAGAUUAUUAUUAGAUAAGAUAAGCCUUUAUUAACUGAAUUAAAUUACAUUAAUGCUAUGUACAUAUAGUAUUAUAUUUCAAACAAAUAAAUAAUAUUUUAGUUUUUGA